GUGGGGAAUAUUGGGCAAUGGGGGCAACCCUGACCCAGCAACGCCGCGUGAGGGAAGAAGGUUUUCGGAUUGUAAACCUCUGUCCUAUGGGAAGAAGGAAGUGACGGUACCAUAGGAGGAAGCCCCGGCUAACUACGUGCCAGCAGCCGCGGUAAUACGUAGGGGGCGAGCGUUGUCCGGAAUUACUGGGCGUAAAGGGUGCGCAGGUGGCCUGACAAGUCAGAUGUGAAAUACCGAUGCUUAACGUCGGGGCUGCAUUUGAAACUAUGAGGCUGGAGUGCAGGAGAGGGAAGCGGAAUUCCCCGUGUAGCGGUGAAAUGCGUAGAUAUGGGGAGGAACACCAGUGGCGAAGGCGGCUUUCUGGACGGUGUCUGACACUGAGGCGCGAAAGCUAGGGGAGCGAACGGGAUUAGAUACCCCAGUAGUCC
rnacentral:rRNA from 1 species